GGAAUUCAGAGUGGGAUGUGUGCUGGAAAGGGCUCACACCUAUAAUCCCGGCACUUUGGGAGGCUAAGGUGGGAGGAUCGCUGGAGCCCACGAGAUCAAGACCAUCCUGGCAAUUCUCUGCUUCCUGGGCCACCACAGUUGUCUUUGCUGUCCUUGAUUGAAACCAUUUUCAGAGAGGAAUCAUCACCAAAGGUCAAUCAAAUGCAUUUACAUGCAUUUUUGUCAAUGGGAAAAUACCACUUUUCAAGGCAUGGCAAGUAUACGAACUCCGGAAAAUUACUCUCACAGGAUGUCAGAUCACCAAGCCGUGCAGCAAUUGGGAUAAAGACCUAAUACAAAGAAUGCUAUUCUGAGAUCCAAAAGAAAUGAAUCACAGACCCAGUUUGUUUCUUUUCACAUCUUUGUAAUACUGAAUACACCCAAGCCUUCCCAAGUCUUUGGUUACUUGGCGUGUUCAGACUAUGUUGACCACAGUCCUAGAGAGAAAAAACAAGUUUUAUGUUAGUUCCUGACUCCAUUGAAAGAUAUGCCAUUUAAAAUGUCCUAGAAGACCUUUUAAAUAUGACUUUGUAUUUAUUUUAGAAUAAAAUUUAAAAUUAAAAAACAUAUUUUAACAUGAUCUUUAAGUCCUGAAUAGUUGAUCUUCCUGUGUAUUUGUUCAGUCUCAUUUUGUACUUUUCUUCCCAACACUGUGUAAGCUUCAGUGACAUGAGCGCAUCUGAAAAUGUGGAAGCAACUUUAGAACUGGGUAACAGGCAGAGGGGUGAACAGUUCGGAGGGCUCAGAAGAAGACAGGAAAAUGUGGGAAAGUUUGGAACUUCCUAAAGACUUGGAGGGCUCAGAAGACAGGAAGAUGUGGUAAGGUUUGGAGCUUCCUAGAGAUUUGUUGAACGGCUUUGACCAAAAUGCUGACAGUGAUAUGGACAAUGAAGUCCAGGCUGAGG